rnacentral:lncRNA from 1 species
UUGUUAUUGUACAAGCACACCAGAAGUAGGUUCUUCAUAUUGAACAUUGACCACUUUGAUAGGUCAUUAGUAAGCCAUGUGUUAAGAUAGUAAGUUAAAACAUUGUAGUGUGCUAGUGACAGCUAGUCGCUCAUAUCCUAUAUGGAAUUUAUUGCCCCCAUAAUUAAAUAUUGUUUUAGACCACAGCACACUAUGUAACCAAUUCUAUAAAUUAUAUUGAGUUGUGAUUGGAUUUGAG